AGGGUGUUGCUCAGUGGUAGAGUACUUGCCUAGUAGAUGCAAGGUCCUGGGUUCCAUCCCCAGGUAACCUA
rnacentral:tRNA from 1 species